AGCAACUCAUUUGGCAAUGGCUUGAAUGUAACAGACAUUCAAUAAUAUCAAAAAGUUACGCACUAAAGCUAAAAACAGUCUGUGUCUACUAUUUGAAGUAUUAUUAUCAAUUGAUUUAGUCAUGAUACCUGUUCUGUGUAACAAUGGCCUGCGUAAUGAUUCAUUUUCAGUUAUUGUUUAAUAUUCUGUAUGUUACAACAACAAGCCAAAAUGUCUACAUAUUGAUGGUUGAUACACUUUAUUUUAUGGGGACAGACUUGAAAAAUAAAGCAUUACUGUGAUAGGAUUAUAAUUCAUACAGUGUACAGUCAGGUAUACCUUUAACCAGAUUUAUUAACGGGUUAUUAAUUGCAAUUGACUUCUUAGUUAAUACAUUUAAAUUCUGUAGAUUAGAGUAUUGAGGGGGUUUAUCACCCACAUUUAGAUCAAAUGUUUGCAUGGGUUGGAUGAUCUUGAUCACUUCAUCAUUAUUUUCAGAUAACUGCACAGCUAUGAUGCUGUCUCAUCAUCAGCAUUUUAAAUGUACAACUCAUCUAAGAAAUCAACUAACCUGUAGGUUUAUGAAAAAUAACGUUUGUAGAAGCCAAGAGCGAGAUUAGCUUUUAUUUUGUGUUUAAAAACAAAAUCUUUUUUUUACCAUUGUGUUCUGUGUUCUUUAUUAUGUUUUCAGAUGUUUUUAAUUUAUUUAAAGAUGCUGAUAUGUGAAUAGUGCUUUCAAACUAACGUACUUGCCCUUUGAAAUCAGCCACUACUAACAGUAACAGGCUUGAUGCUGUGUCAAAUAUAUUAUUGGAUAUAUUGGAUAAAUGGUUAAGAUUAUUUGAAAUCUUAAUUUAGUUUACUUUGGGAAAAGAAAAAAUUGUCUUAAAUCAGUUUCCACCCUGAUUACUGGAUUUAGCUUAACUUGUUUUUGUUAUAUGUGGUGCAUGCAUUGGCUGGUUUAGUUUUGCUAAUUUGGAUGUCGGAGUAAAAUAUUGUAUAAAGUGUGCAUAUUCAGACAGAAUUCAGAGUUGGGAAUGGAUUCUAGAAGUUAAAGUCAGUGUGUAAAAUCUUUUUGCAAACUCAGUCCCAACAAGGCUGCAGUGUGGUGCCUAUGGUGCAUUUGUAGAGUAAUAACUUAAUAAAAAGCUCCAAUCCUAUUCUUUUCCAGGAUCCCACUGAAACUCCAUCAGAAACACCACUGACAUGUGUCUUCUUCAUUCCGUCACUGGGAAUUUAGUGCUGUCUACUAUCUACAGGAAAAUAGCUUCAUCUUUUUUUGUUUAAUAAUAACACAGAUGAAGGCUGGCAUAUGGACCCCAUGUUCAGUAUAGGAAUCCACUUACUAGCUUUUAAUUGUCUUACCAUACCAUCAGGAUAUAGAAACCACAGAGUUAUUAGUAGAUAUUCAGUGUCCCAUCCUUAUGAGAGUGAGAUUAACUCAACAGACGGUGGAAAAUCAGUUAUUUUAUAUAGGUGUCUCUAAAAUUCAUGGAACUGAAGUAGCAUAAUGUAAAAUAUUGAUAUGAUUUUUUUUAAUAUGUAAACAGAGCAUUACAUUGUUCUUUAAGGCAUGGUGGCCCUCUAGUAUACAAUGUAAAGUCAUUUUUUAGGAGGUCUUAAAUACCAUACAACACAUAAUACAUAGAUAAUUUUAAUGAAAAAUGUGGUGUAUUGGAGCUUUUUGCAAAUCUUGGUUUCCUUAGAUGUUUGAAAUCUAAACAUUUACGGUAUGAGAUUUUCAUUUUGCAGUUUGAGGGUCUGAGAAUUCCCAGUUGACAGUUUGCCAUCAAAAAUGGUUUCCAUUUUGCAGUGACUUAUCAGCAGGAAAUGACCUUUCAAAGAAAGAAUAAAAUGAAAAGUCAUUAAGAAAAUGUAAUUGGAUUGUUUUUCUUUGACAUGAAAUGUGCAGACUUGAUGAACAGACAUCCUCACUUGAAAUUGUUGCCACUGUAGUGGAAGUGCAUGGUGAACUGUUAAUGCCUAACUGUAGUCAGUGAUUCAGUGUCUGCCGUUGUGUGGCUUCGCAAAUGGUGCUGUGCUAUUGAAACUGGUAGAAGAUCACUUGGGCUAACAGGUAUUGUAGUAGGUGAAAUGAGUCAACAUAUACAAUAUAUACACAGUAUAUAUAUAUAUAUAUAUAUAUAUAUAUAUCUCAUGCAGAGAUAUACAUUAUCUCAAAACUGCAUUAGACCCACUCCAGCAAAUGCAUUUUAAUGUAUGACACCAUCCAACAACAACAGUUUCGAAGUUGUACGGUUAAACUCAUUGUUGUUGCUACAGACAAUGAUUAGCAUCCCAAUAACUUCCUGCAGACAUAAAAUCCUGUCUUAUGGUAUUAUGUAGUGUUAAGGCCUUCAAAUGAACAUACAGUAUUUCAUCUUAUCAUUUUUUUAAUGCAGUGCUAUUUUCAGCCUGAAUACUUGCUCAUGUUUGGAUUUUCCCUAUGCUAAUCCCUGAGGAAGGCCUAUGGUGGGCGCAAACACAUGUACCUCAUAAAUAAGACGUAGGUGAUUUUGGUGUGAACUUUCCGUUCUUUUGCAGGAGUGUGGGUGUUAUUCAGUUUUAAGCAGAGAUACUAACAUGCUUUACUCAAGUCUCAUUUUAGAGAGGAAAAAAGGUUGUUGGAGAAAGAAACAAAGGAUUGGAACAGCACUGGUUUGAUGAAAUGUGUCAGGGGAGAACAGGGAAGAGAAGGUGAGAGAGUAUUAUUGGCAGGUUUGAAAUUAAACCUGGGUUAUUAAUUUCAUGAGAGCAGUUAGUCUGGAGCAAGGUUUAGGCUUGUCUGAAAUAUAUGUGUUUACAAUGACUUUUGUGACAAAUCGAGAAUGAGCUAUAUGUAACAUCUAUUUGUACAGUAUGGUUUCUACUACCAUAACAUUAACAUCAUAACAUCUCUUAUGACUGGGAUCUGAAAUAAAAAUAACCUUUAAUUUUGUCUCUGUAAAGUCUCUCUUUGGUUUUUAAGGCAUUUUAAGAGCCGUUUUUAUUGUUCAUGUAUUUUGUGGCUUGAUUGCUGAAUGCACCUAUUAUCUUGGCUGUUGCUGGUGAUACAGUGCACAUACGGUUAUCAGUUAUGUUACAUGACAUUUUGUUUGUUUUUUUGGCAGUUGUUUGUAUGGAGAUAAAUUAAAACGCAGGUUUACAUUUUAC